rnacentral:tRNA from 1 species
GGGCUCGUAGCUCAGCUGGUUAGAGCGUCUCGCUUACACCGAGAAGGUCCACCGUUCGAAUCGGUGCGGGCCCA